GAUGAACGCUGGCGGCGUGCCUAAUACAUGCAAGUCGAGCGAACAGACGAGGAGCUUGCUCCUCUGACGUUAGCGGCGGACGGGUGAGUAACACGUGGAUAACCUACCUAUAAGACUGGGAUAACUUCGGGAAACCGGAGCUAAUACCGGAUAAUAUAUUGAACCGCAUGGUUCAAAAGUGAAAGACGGUUUUGCUGUCACUUAUAGAUGGAUCCGCGCCGCAUUAGCUAGUUGGUAAGGUAACGGCUUACCAAGGCAACGAUGCGUAGCCGACCUGAGAGGGUGAUCGGCCACACUGGAACUGAGACACGGUCCAGACUCCUACGGGAGGCAGCAGUAGGGAAUCUUCCGCAAUGGGCGAAAGCCUGACGGAGCAACGCCACGUGAGUGAUGAAGGUCUUCGGAUCGUAAAACUCUGUUAUUAGGGAAGAACAAAUGUGUAAGUAACUAUGCACGUCUUGACGGUACCUAAUCAGAAAGCCACGGCUAACUACGUG
rnacentral:rRNA from 1 species